rnacentral:antisense_RNA from 1 species
ACACAUAUACUCAUAGAAAUGAGUUAUUUAAAGAAGACGGUCCAGAUUCCACAGUCCAAAAAAAAAAAAAAAAAGAGGUUUGCCCUGCUUCUGAAGGAGUCAGGAUACGAAUGCAGAGGUCUUCCUGUUGGCUCACGUAUCAGACCUUCAACGUCAACAUUAAAUGUUGAAAGAACAUCAGUGUAUCAGCACAGCAAAGAUUCCAAAUGCCAGGCUGGAUUGCCUCCAAUUACCAGGACCUCCAGGCUUCUCCUCCUUUCAAGAACUUUCUGAUCCUGGAUCCAGUCUAAAUGUUGGUUAUAAACUCACCUGACAUCCACAGGGCCCUUCCAAAGUACUGUCAAGGCUGACUGCUGGUGCCUGGAACCUGCACACCCUCCUGGGACUCUGCAUCUCUGCUGGGGCUGGUUUCUCCUCUGAGCCACCUUAAGGAAUCCCACCCUGACCCGGAAAUACUAUGACAAUGGGACUUUGGGAAUGUGUUCUGGAGACUCUGCUCCCUGGUGACUACUACAUGGAGCACAGAAAAGUGUCUUGAGUGGCAGCUAUGUGCCAGUGAUACCUGCCUGGCAGAGUUGUGAGAAUUAAAUGAGAUGAUGAAUACGUCUGCUCUCAGCACCACACCACACCUGUGGCAGUCCUCAGAGAGAAGAAUCACAGCUUCCAUUCAUUGAGAGCUCACUAAGUGCCAGAACCAUAGAGCUCAAAGCUUCUCAGCUCAACGGAGAACUCAGCACUUCUUGGACUGAUAAAUAGAGCAGCUUUAAAAUGCUUAGAACUGAAGACAGACCAACUGUGGCGAGAGAAAGUAAACACAUCCAUGCACCAGUCAACCCUAGCAAGCUCCUCGCUGAGAUUACAAACUGCAGUUCCUGCCUGAGCUGGAGAGGAUGCUGGAGCAGGCUGAGGGACCAGAACCACAAAGCAGCCCUGGCUUAGCUCUGGCUUAGCUACUUGUGCCCCAGAAGAGCUGGGUCCUCAGGGAGUCUUCUUGGGGCCCGGUUUGGAUGUUCCUAAGCAUAGAAGACUCUGCCAGUGUGUCCCUCAUUCGUUUCACAUUUGGAAAUGUACCAAGAGAAGCGGGAACCAGCUUUACUCUUUCUGAUCUAGAUGGGACUCCUUUCCUUUGCACUCAAGCUCUCUGUGUACAGGUGAAACUUGCCAGUGAGAGACUUGGAAUUUCUCACAAAAUAGAAUGUGGUAACGACAUAAUUUGAUAUGAAUAUUUGAGGAACUUUAUCUAUGGACAAUAUAUACUUUAAACAUCCCCCUCCCCAAGUCACACACACAAAUUGUUUUUAUGAGAACCAAUUAAUAAAUGCUAAUUCAUUCAGGCA